ensembl:lncRNA
CCUGCAUAAAACAUACUGUCUGUUCUGUUUUGGUCACAACCCCAGUCAACCCUACAGGCUUGGGGAGGAGUGGCUGGAAAGCUGCCUGAUGGAAAGGGACCCUGGUGUACUGAUGGACAGUUGGCUGAAUAUGAGCCAGCAGUGUGCCCAGGUGGCCAAGAAGGCCAAUGGCAUCCUGGCUUGUAUCAGGAAUGGUGUGGUGAGCAGGAUUAGGGAAGUAAUCCUGCCCCUGUACUCGGCACUGGUGAGGCCUCACCUCGAGUACUGUGCUCAGUUUCGGGCACCUCAGUACAGAAAGGACAUGGAGGUGCUGGAGCAGGUCCAAAGAAGGGCAACAAGGUUUGUGAAGGGCUUGGAGAAUAUGCCCUAUGAGGAGCGACUGAAGGAACUGGGGCUGUUUAGUCUGGGGAAAAGGAGGCUGAGGGGAGACCUUAUUGCUCUCUUCCAAUAUCUGAAAGGUGCUUACAGCGAGAGCGGGGCUGGUCUCUUCUCACUGCUGACAGGUGACAGGAUGAGGGGAAAUGGCCUCAAGUUGUGCCAGGGGAGGUUUAGGUUGGAUAUCAGGAAAAACUUCCUUUUAGAAAGGGUUGUGAAGCACUGGAAUAGGCUUCCCAGGGAGGUGGUUGAGUCAUCAUCCCUGGAUGUGUUUAAAACCCAUUUGGAUGUGGUGCUCAGGGCCAUGAUUUAGUGGAGGGUUGUUAGAGUUAGGGUAGUAUGGUUGGGUUGUGGUUGGACUUGAUGAUCUUGAGGGUCUUUUCCAACCAAGCUAUUCUAUGAUUCUACAAUUCUAACAGGGUCAAAGAGACAGCUAGAAGCUCCCCCAUUGGUUAGAUCUAAGCAUUUCUCUUUCAGCAAGCAUACGUAUGGAGCUAGGAGAACACUGUGACAAACAAGUGGGAGAAAAUAAGAUGAAACAUGACUGCUUCCCAGAUGAGUUUCCAAUCAGACAUUCAGUAUUCAGCCAAAUGACAAGAAGAAAAUAAAAGAAAGGAAAAUUGUCCAUAAUUAC